rnacentral:rRNA from 1 species
AGAGUUUGAUCCUGGCUCAGGAUGAACGCUGGCGGCGUGCCUAAUACAUGCAAGUCGAGCGAACGGACGAGAAGCUUGCUUCUCUGAUGUUAGCGGCGGACGGGUGAGUAACACGUGGAUAACCUACCUAUAAGACUGGGAUAACUUCGGGAAACCGGAGCUAAUACCGGAUAAUAUUUUGAACCGCAUGGUUCAAAAGUGAAAGACGGCCUUGCUGUCACUUAUAGAUGGAUCCGCGCUGCAUUAGCUAGUUGGUAAGGUAACGGCUUACCAAGGCAACGAUGCAUAGCCGACCUGAGAGGGUGAUCGGCCACACUGGAACUGAGACACGGUCCAGACUCCUACGGGAGGCAGCAGUAGGGAAUCUUCCGCAAUGGGCGAAAGCCUGACGGAGCAACGCCGCGUGAGUGAUGAAGGUCUUCGGAUCGUAAAACUCUGUUAUUAGGGAAGAACAUAUGUGUAAGUAACUGUGCACAUCUUGACGGUACCUAAUCAGAAAGCCACGGCUAACUACGUGCCAGCAGCCGCGGUAAUACGUAGGUGGCAAGCGUUAUCCGGAAUUAUUGGGCGUAAAGCGCGCGUAGGCGGUUUUUUAAGUCUGAUGUGAAAGCCCACGGCUCAACCGUGGAGGGUCAUUGGAAACUGGAAAACUUGAGUGCAGAAGAGGAAAGUGGAAUUCCAUGUGUAGCGGUGAAAUGCGCAGAGAUAUGGAGGAACACCAGUGGCGAAGGCGACUUUCUGGUCUGUAACUGACGCUGAUGUGCGAAAGCGUGGGGAUCAAACAGGAUUAGAUACCCUGGUAGUCCACGCCGUAAACGAUGAGUGCUAAGUGUUAGGGGGUUUCCGCCCCUUAGUGCUGCAGCUAACGCAUUAAGCACUCCGCCUGGGGAGUACGACCGCAAGGUUGAAACUCAAAGGAAUUGACGGGGACCCGCACAAGCGGUGGAGCAUGUGGUUUAAUUCGAAGCAACGCGAAGAACCUUACCAAAUCUUGACAUCCUUUGACAACUCUAGAGAUAGAGCCUUCCCCUUCGGGGGACAAAGUGACAGGUGGUGCAUGGUUGUCGUCAGCUCGUGUCGUGAGAUGUUGGGUUAAGUCCCGCAACGAGCGCAACCCUUAAGCUUAGUUGCCAUCAUUAAGUUGGGCACUCUAAGUUGACUGCCGGUGACAAACCGGAGGAAGGUGGGGAUGACGUCAAAUCAUCAUGCCCCUUAUGAUUUGGGCUACACACGUGCUACAAUGGACAAUACAAAGGGCAGCGAAACCGCGAGGUCAAGCAAAUCCCAUAAAGUUGUUCUCAGUUCGGAUUGUAGUCUGCAACUCGACUACAUGAAGCUGGAAUCGCUAGUAAUCGUAGAUCAGCAUGCUACGGUGAAUACGUUCCCGGGUCUUGUACACACCGCCCGUCACACCACGAGAGUUUGUAACACCCGAAGCCGGUGGAGUAACCUUUUAGGAGCUAGCCGUCGAAGGUGGGACAAAUGAUUGGGGUGAAG